UACGGGGGGGGCAAGCGUUGUUCGGAAUUAUUGGGCGUAAAGCGCGCGCAGGUGGUUUCUUAAGUCUGAUGUGAAAGCCCACGGCUCAACCGUGGAGGGUCAUUGGAAACUGGGAGACUUGAGUGCAGAAGAGGAAAGUGGAAUUCCAUGUGUAGCGGUGAAAUGCGUAGAGAUAUGGAGGAACACCAGUGGCGAAGGCGACUUUCUGGUCUGUAACUGACACUGAGGCGCGAAAGCGUGGGGAGCAACAGG
rnacentral:rRNA from 1 species